rnacentral:rRNA from 2 species
CGGCGAGUGAAGCGGCAAUAGCUCAAAUUUGAAAGCUGGCCCCUUUCGGGGUCCGCGUUGUAAUUUGUAGAGGAUGAUUCGGCGAGGGCUCCCGUCUAAGUCCCUUGGAACAGGGCGUCAUAGAGGGUGAGAAUCCCGUAUGUGAUGGGCUGCCUUAGCCAUGUGAAUCUCCUUCGACGAGUCGAGUUGUUUGGGAAUGCAGCUCUAAAUGGGAGGUAAAUUUCUUCUAAAGCUAAAUACCGGCCAGAGACCGAUAGCGCACAAGUAGAGUGAUCGAAAGAUGAAAAGCACUUUGGAAAGAGAGUUAAAAAGUACGUGAAAUUGUUGAAAGGGAAGCGCUUGCAGCCAGACUUGUCCGCAGUUGCUCAGCCUGUCUCCUGACAGGCGUACUCUUCUGCGGCCAGGCCAGCAUCAGUUCGGGCGGUCGGAUAAAGACCCGGGGAAUGUAGCUCCUCUCGGGGAGUGUUAUAGCCCUGGGUGCAAUGCGGCCAGCCUGGACUGAGGAUCUCGCUUCGGCUAGGAUGCUGGCGUAAUGGCUGUAAGCGGCCCGUCUUGAAACACGGACCAAGGAGUCUAACAUCUAUGCGAGUGUUUGGGUGUCAAACCCAUGCGCGUAAUGAAAGUGAACGGAGGUGGGAACCCUCACGGGUGCACCAUCGACCGAUCCUGAUGUCUUCGGAUGGAUUUGAGUAAGAGCAUAGCUGUUGGGACCCGAAAGAUGGUGAACUAUGCCUGAAUAGGGUGAAGCCAGAGGAAACUCUGGUGGAGGCUCGCAGCGGUUCUGACGUGCAAAUCGAUCGUCAAAUUUGGGUAUAGGGGCGAAAAACUAAUCGAACCAUC